UUGAACGCUGGCGGCAUGCCUUACACAUGCAAGUCGAACGGCAGCACGGGAGCAAUCCUGGUGGCGAGUGGCGAACGGGUGAGUAAUAUAUCGGAACGUGCCCGGUCGUGGGGGAUAACGUAGCGAAAGCUACGCUAAUACCGCAUACGAUCUACGGAUGAAAGCGGGGGAUCGCAAGACCUCGCGCGAUUGGAGCGGCCGAUAUCAGAUUAGGUAGUUGGUGAGGUAAGGGCUCACCAAGCCGACGAUCUGUAGCUGGUCUGAGAGGACGACCAGCCACACUGGGACUGAGACACGGCCCAGACUCCUACGGGAGGCAGCAGUGGGGAAUUUUGGACAAUGGGCGCAAGCCUGAUCCAGCAAUGCCGCGUGCAGGAUGAAGGCCUUCGGGUUGUAAACUGCUUUUGUACGGAACGAAACGGUAAGCUCUAAUACAGUUUGCUAAUGACGGUACCGUAAGAAUAAGCACCGGCUAACUACGUG
rnacentral:rRNA from 1 species